rnacentral:lncRNA from 1 species
GCUCGUGAGGUGCAAGCGAAACCAACGCACCUUCAAUCGCUUCGAAAGGUACUUCAGUUAGAUAAGCCCCAGCAAAGACAGCAAGACAGUCUCAUGGGGCCACACCAAGGAUAACAGUGUUCCUGCUCGAGUCCGGGGUCAUGUCACCGAACUUCACUGAACAUAAUGGAUAUGUGCAGGUAUUCUUCGCAGCAAAUGGCUGCCAAUCAGGA